UUGUAGCUAGUUAAGCUGACCAUGUUUCCUUCCCUACAGGGAACCGGUGUUGACAGAUUGCAAACAGCAGCCUCUUUGGUGGUGUGUGCAGGCUGUUGCCUAGUUGUUCUAAGGAACCUUGAAAACAAUU